rnacentral:rRNA from 1 species
CGCCAGACUCCUACGGGAGGCAGCAGUGGGGAAUAUUGCACAAUGGGGGAAACCCUGAUGCAGCGACGCCGCGUGAGCGAUGAAGUAUUUCGGUAUGUAAAGCUCUAUCAGCAGGGAAGAAAAUGACGGUACCUGACUAAGAAGCCCCGGCUAACUACGUGCCAGCAGCCGCGGUAAUACGUAGGGGGCGAGCGUUAUCCGGAUUUACUGGGUGUAAAGGGAGCGUAGACGGCCAUGCAAGCCUGAUGUGAAAGGUGUGGGCACAACCCGCACACUGCAUUGGGAACUGUAUGGCUAGAGUGUCGGAGGGGCAGGCGGAAUUCCUGGUGUAGCGGUGAAAUGCGUAGAUAUCAGGAGGAACACCGGUGGCGAAGGCGGCCUGCUGGACGACGACUGACGUUGAGGCUCGAGAGCAUGGGGAGCGAACAGGAUUAGAUACCCUAGUA